GCCUGUGUGGUGAAAUUGGUAGACACGCCAUCUUGAGGGGGUGGUAUCCAAUAGGAUGUGCUGGUUCGAAUCCAGUCGCAGGCAC
rnacentral:tRNA from 2 species